UUUCUUAAAGUAUACAUAUUUAGAAAUGUGUCUGUAAAUUUCAAAGUUGAUCCGGUGAAAAAUAAAUGAGAUAUACAGAACACUGCAGCGGCGCGUCCUGUGGCUUCAUACAAGGUGGCCAGCCAUACCUGACCCUAACGACAGAUGGCCUUUUCCUAUGAUUUAGAAACGGCAACCACUGCGGAAGAGUUAUUAUAUGGUCCAGGAAUCGAUGACUCUUUGUAACUUGGAAACAAAAUUUCUUCUGAACAAAAAAAAAACGAAGUAUACUUGCAGAAUGCUGGUCACCGCAAUUCGCCUUUUUUCUUAAGGCGCCACUUCAAUGGCUCAUAUCUCCAAAAGUUUUUGUUAAAAAAAAUUUUUUUUUCUUUUAAAUUACAGCUUUUUACAUGUACUUUUAACUAAUAAAUAGUAUUCUUUAAAAAGAUUCAUUGUUCUUUUGGAAAAUAUUCUUGUAAAAAGCAUUAUUUUUUGAGUUACAACUGGUGUUCCCCCCUUAA